UGUUUAGAAAGACUUCCAGCUUCAUCACGGAGUUUCUCUCGGUUUGUGGGCUCAUCUAAAGGGCACAGGCGAAGCAGCGGUUGCAAGAAAAACCGAAUGAAAGUAACUAAAUACAAUAAAAUGGUAAAACAUGGCCUGGGGCGCACUGACAGAGGAGAGGCUGCCAGACACUGGCGGUGUUUUGCCCAAGGACACAAUGACCAAGACUAUCCAAGCCGGGGCUCGAACCAGCAACCUUCAGAUUACAAGACGAACUGCCAACUCUUGAGCCACGAUCGCCUCAUAAUAAAUCAAAAUGUGCUCAUAUACCUCGAGUCACAGGCUGAAAAGCUUCUGAUGAAGAAGCUGCUAAAGAUGAGGCUCCUAACACUGCAGAAUGCAAUGCAGUGUUAGAAUCGAUGAAAUG